GGGCUAGUAAUUUAUAUAAAAUAUUAAUUUGCAAAAUUGAAAAAUGGGACUGUGUUCGCUGUAGCUCU
rnacentral:tRNA from 1 species